UACGGAGGGAGCUAGCGUUGUUCGGAAUUACUGGGCGUAAAGCGUGCGUAGGUGGUGAGUUAAGUCUGUCGUGAAAGCCCCGGGCUCAACCUGGGAAUGGCGAUGGAUACUGGCUCGCUAGAGUGCGGUAGAGGAGAGUGGAAUUCCCGGUGUAGCAGUGAAAUGCGUAGAGAUCGGGAGGAACAUCAGUUGCGAAGGCGACUUUCUGGGGACAUUCCUGACGCUGAGGAGCGAAAGCGUGGGGGAGCGAACAGG
rnacentral:rRNA from 1 species